AGUGAACGCUGGCGGUAGGCCUAACACAUACAAGUCGAACGGCAGCACAGUAAGAGCUUGCUCUUACGGGUUGCGAGUGGCGGACGGGUGAGGAAUACAUCGUAAUCUACUUUUUCGUGGGGGAUAACGUAGGUAAACUUACGCUAAUACCGCAUACGACCUACGGUUGAAAGCAGUGGAUCUUCGCACCUUGCGCGAUUGAAUGAGCCGAUGUCGGAUUAGCUAGUUGGCGGGGUAAAGGCCCACCAAGGCGACGAUCCGUAGCUGGUCUGAGAGGAUGAUCAGCCACACUGGAACUGAGACACGGUCCAGACUCCUACGGGAGGCAGCAGUGGGGAAUAUUGGACAAUGGGCGCAAGCAUGAUCCAGCCAUACCGCGUGGGUGAAGAAGGCCUUCGGGUUGUAAAGCCCUUUUGUUGGGAAAGAAAAGCAGCAGGUUAAUACCCCGCUGUUCUGACGGUACCCAAAGAAUAAGCACCGGCUAACUUCGUG
rnacentral:rRNA from 1 species